rnacentral:snRNA from 1 species
AUCCCUUCUGUGCAAAUGCAUA